UACGGGGGGGGCAAGCGUUGUUCGGAAUUACUGGGCGUAAAGGGCGCGUAGGCGGUCUGCUAAGUUGGAUGUGAAAACUCUGGGCUUAACCCAGAGCCUGCAUUCAAUACUGACAGGCUAGAGUUCUGGAGGGGAUAGCGGAAUUCCUGGUGUAGCGGUGAAAUGCGUAGAUAUCAGGAGGAACACCGGUGGCGAAGGCGGCUACCUGGACAGAAACUGACGCUGAGGCGCGAAAGCUAGGGGAGCAAACAGG
rnacentral:rRNA from 1 species